UGGAGGUAAAGUGCAUCUUGCUGGAGAUUCUUGCUUACUUGAGGUUUUCUAAAACAUUCAAGUUGGGUUGCUUCCAUAUGCCACUGAGCAGGAAGAUGCAGUACAGCAGUGCAGUGGAUCUGCUUUAACCAUGGAUUAAAGUUCUUUCUAUGGAACCAUAUAACUAAAGGAAAGUAAAAAUGCUUUGAAAUGUGUAUAGUACAGACAAUGGAUCCUUAGUAUGAGUAAUUUUGAUCUGCACUACUUACUACUACAGUGGCAGGACCCCAGGAGAUGGCAUGGAGCUGAGUCAGGGGAGGGUCAGGUUGUGGCUUAGGAAAAGAUACUUCACCAGAGGGUGGUCAGGCCCUGGAAAGGCUCCCGGGGGCUGUGGACAUGGCCCCAAGCUGCUGGAGUUCAAGAAGUGUUUGGACACUGCUCUCAGACAUACAGUCUGAUUUUUGUGUGGUC